rnacentral:rRNA from 1 species
AACGAACGUAGCGGCGCGCCUAACACAUGCAAGUCGCACGAGAAAGGGCUUCGGCCCCGGUAAAGUGGCGCACGGGUGAGUAACACGUGGGUAACCUGCCCUCGAGCGGGGGAUAACAUUCCGAAAGGAGUGCUAAUACCACAUAAGACCACGAUCUCGAAAGAGGACGAGGUAAAAGCUGGCCUCUGUAUACAAGCUAGCACUUGAGGAUGGGCCCGCGGCGCAUCAGGUAGUUGGUGAGGUAACGGCUCACCAAGCCGAAGACGCGUAGCUGGUCUGAGAGGAUGAUCAGCCACACUGGAACUGAGACACGGGCCAGACUCCUACGGGAGGCAGCAGUGGGGAAUCUUGCGAAAUGGGCGAAAGCCUGACGCAGCGACGCCGCGUGAGUGAUGAAGGCCUUCGGGUUGUAAAGCUCUGUGGGGCGAGGCGAAUAAGUGCAGCCUAAUACGCUGCAUGAUGACGGUAUCGCCUUAGCAAGCACCGGCUAACUCUGUGCCAGCAGCCGCCGUAACAC